CACGGUGGAUGCCUUGGCACUAGAAGCCGAUGAAGGACGUUACUAACGACGAUAUGCUUUGGGGAGCUGUAAGUAAGCUUUGAUCCAGAGAUUUCCGAAUGGGGAAACCCAGCAUGAGUUAUGUCAUGUUAUCGAUAUGUGAAUACAUAGCAUAUCAGAAGGCACACCCGGAGAACUGAAACAUCUUAGUACCCGGAGGAAGAGAAAGAAAAUUCGAUUCCCUUAGUAGCGGCGAGCGAAACGGGAAGAGCCCAAACCAACAAGCUUGCUUGUUGGGGUUGUAGGACACUCUAUACGGAGUUACAAAGGACGACAUUAGACGAAUCAUCUGGAAAGAUGAAUCAAAGAAGGUAAUAAUCCUGUAGUCGAAAAUGUUGUCUCUCUUGAGUGGAUCCUGAGUACGACGGAGCACGUGAAAUUCCGUCGGAAUCUGGGAGGACCAUCUCCUAAGGCUAAAUACUCUCUAGUGACCGAUAGUGAACCAGUACCGUGAGGGAAAGGUGAAAAGCACCCCGGAAGGGGAGUGAAAUAGAACCUGAAACCGUGUGCUUACAAGUAGUCAGAGCCCGUUAAUGGGUGAUGGCGUGCCUUUUGUAGAAUGAACCGGCGAGUUACGAUUUGAUGCAAGGUUAAGCAGUAAAUGUGGAGCCGUAGCGAAAGCGAGUCUGAAUAGGGCGUUUAGUAUUUGGUCGUAGACCCGAAACCAGGUGAUCUACCCUUGGUCAGGUUGAAGUUCAGGUAACACUGAAUGGAGGACCGAACCGACUUACGUUGAAAAGUGAGCGGAUGAACUGAGGGUAGCGGAGAAAUUCCAAUCGAACCUGGAGAUAGCUGGUUCUCUCCGAAAUAGCUUUAGGGCUAGCCUCAAGUGAUGAUUAUUGGAGGUAGAGCACUGUUUGGACGAGGGGCCCCUCUCGGGUUACCGAAUUCAGACAAACUCCGAAUGCCAAUUAAUUUAACUUGGGAGUCAGAACAUGGGUGAUAAGGUCCGUGUUCGAAAGGGAAACAGCCCAGACCACCAGCUAAGGUCCCAAAAUAUAUGUUAAGUGGAAAAGGAUGUGGCGUUGCCCAGACAACUAGGAUGUUGGCUUAGAAGCAGCCAUCAUUUAAAGAGUGCGUAAUAGCUCACUAGUCGAGUGACACUGCGCCGAAAAUGUACCGGGGCUAAACAUAUUACCGAAGCUGUGGAUUGUCCUUUGGACAAUGGUAGGAGAGCGUUCUAAGGGCGUUGAAGCAUGAUCGUAAGGACAUGUGGAGCGCUUAGAAGUGAGAAUGCCGGUGUGAGUAGCGAAAGACGGGUGAGAAUCCCGUCCACCGAUUGACUAAGGUUUCCAGAGGAAGGCUCGUCCGCUCUGGGUUAGUCGGGUCCUAAGCUGAGGCCGACAGGCGUAGGCGAUGGAUAACAGGUUGAU
rnacentral:rRNA from 1 species